CAAUCACAAUCAUAUCACGAUCACAUCAUAGUAUUACACAUCAUCUGUCUCAAUCACAACCAUAUCACGACCACAUCAUAGUAUUACACAUCAUUUGUCUCAACAUCAAUGUCUGUAUCAAUCAUAGCCUACUCAUGCUCUUCUAUCCCCUCAAUAUCAGUUAUCACAUGACUUAUUCAACAAAUUCAAGUCACAUAUAACACAAUUAUCUCGUUUUAUUCCCCAUCUUUCAUUUACAACAAUUUCAAUCAACAAAUAAAACCCAUCCUCAAUCCCCAUUACUCCC
rnacentral:lncRNA from 1 species